ensembl:lncRNA
GGUUCAUCUGAAUUCAAUAAUGAGGCAGAAAAAAGGAAAAAAAAAUGCACGGUAUGAAAGGUGCGAUGGAGAUCUCGUGGAUUGUGACUCAGAAAUAAAUGGCACAAUGUUUGGAUUCUUCAGGCUGAAGACGUCAAGGAUAUUCAGCUGAGCUCAAAGAUCGGCAGCAGCAGCAGCAGUCCCCUCCUCAUGGAGAGUGGAAGCAUCUGACUAGAGUCCACUGGGAGUAGUUAGCAGAAGAAGUGCAAGACAUUCAACUAUUCCACCCUGUUAUCAGACUUGCGCACCACAAGGCACCACUUGUCAAUUUUCCAGGGGACACCUUGACAUCAAAUCCUCUAUUUUUAUCGGAGGUUGCAUGACAACUAUCCAUGUUUGUAGAUCUGGUCUGGGAAAACCGGGGCCUACUCAAAUUGACCAAUGCGGUGCGAUUUGAAUGACAAAAUAUAUUUUUACAAUUGCAUCAUGUCUUGAAAAUGAUUAGAUUUAAGUAGUAUUCUUAUUUUCAUUUGUUGCUAUUGUUCUUUGAGUGGCAAAUACAUAUCCAUUAAUCUUCACCAGUCUCACUGCAAAAGCGCCAGAACAAUGCCCCUACAAAACACAGAUUGUGCGGAGCAAUACAAAAAUUGAUGAUCAAAACAUUUCAACCACCAAACAACAACAACCACUUCGGAUCAGUCAAAUUGGGUCCAUUUGGCAAUCAAAAGGAGAGCAGUUAACCUUAUAAGAAAAACAUAUUCCAGUGCCCUGUGGGCCUGCUAUAAAGCAACAUCUAGAAAUAUCUCAACACGUCUACCUCUGCAGUCGAUUUUUUCAAUAGAAGAACCGCCCCAAGUUGUAAGAGGCGACUAUAUUUUUUCUUCACACCCAUUAUCCUGUUUUGAAAGGUCGGCUAAGACAGAAGACUUGCAUACCGGUCCAUUUUUGAGUUAAAGAAAAAUGUAAAGCGCCUGAGAGGCAAAAUAAUUAUUUUACAUGUAAUAUAGAAGAAAAUACAUCUGCAGCUGAUGUUUUUGUGUAGUAUUUUUUGCACUGGUUUUGUGCAGCAUUGUUGCCGCUAUUUUUAAUUUUUUAAUUCAACUUAAAAACAAGUUUAACUCUAAUUAUCCUGUUCAACAAGCAAAUGCUUUGUUUGAUGAAACCCAAGAAUAAAAGGCACUGAGAAUUAUCAGCAAAGCCGUGAAACACACACACACAAUAUAUGCACAGCCCCAUGCUUUGCACAACUGCUGUAUCAGCAGAGAAGAUGAGGAGGAUGCCAAGAGACGCACAUGCAGCUUUGACGAGGAUCAGCUGCCACAGAUAGGCAGGCAGGCCAAGAAGGCAGCGUGUGCCCUUGAGGUGCUGUGUGCAGGCAGGGUGGUUUGCUUGGCUUGUCUGAAUCCACCUCCUUCAUCUUUUGCACUUGGGUUGAGUUGGGUGUUGAUGUCCCAGGGACCCCCUGCCAACCCUGUAAUGUUUUAUACUGGCAGCCAAACAUCAGAGAAUUUUUUUGAAGGAGACAAUGUGGCCAAAAAAAAAGUACCUUUGUAUUUUUUUUUUAAUCUGUGGAAAACACUGAGGGGAGUUGCUGACUUAUAGCAACUUUGCAGAGAUUUCAACUGUCCGACCGGAUAAAUCAGCAAAUUAAUUUAGAAUAAAUCCUGGAUCCUAAAGUAUGUUGUUGGUU